rnacentral:rRNA from 1 species
AACGAACGCUGGCGGCAUGCCUAACACAUGCAAGUCGAACGAGGCCCUUCGGGGUUUAGUGGCGCACGGGUGCGUAACGCGUGGGAAUCUGCCCUUAGGUUCGGAAUAACAGCUGGAAACGGCUGCUAAUACCGGAUGAUAUCGCGAGAUCAAAGAUUUAUCGCCCGAGGAUGAGCCCGCGUUGGAUUAGGUAGUUGGUGGGGUAAAGGCCUACCAAGCCGACGAUCCAUAGCUGGUCUGAGAGGAUGAUCAGCCACACUGGGACUGAGACACGGCCCAGACUCCUACGGGAGGCAGCAGUGGGGAAUAUUGGACAAUGGGCGAAAGCCUGAUCCAGCAAUGCCGCGUGAGUGAUGAAGGCCUUAGGGUUGUAAAGCUCUUUUACCCGGGAUGAUAAUGACAGUACCGGGAGAAUAAGCUCCGGCUAACUUCGUGCCAGCCGCCGCGGUAACAC